GUAAAUAUAGUUUAAUAAAAACAUUAGAUUGUGAAUCUAAUAAUGGAAGUGCAAGUCUUCUUAUUUACC